rnacentral:rRNA from 1 species
CCUACGGGUGGCAGCAGUGGGGAAUAUUGCACAAUGGGGGGAACCCUGAUGCAGCGACGCCGCGUGGGUGAAGGAGUAUUUCGGUAUGUAAAGCCCUAUCAGCAGGGAAGAACAAUGACGGUACCUGACCAAGAAGCACCGGCUAAAUACGUGCCAGCAGCCGCGGUAAUACGUAUGGUGCAAGCGUUAUCCGGAUUUACUGGGUGUAAAGGGAGCGCAGGCGGCGCGUUAAGCCUGGUGUGAAAGUCCGCGGCCCAACCGCGGGACUGCAUUGGAAACUGGCGCGCUGGAGUGCCGGAGGGGUAGGCGGAAUUCCUAGUGUAGCGGUGAAAUGCGUAGAUAUUAGGAGGAACACCAGUGGCGAAGGCGGCCUACUGGACGGUGACUGACGCUGAGGCUCGAAAGCGUGGGGAGCAAACAGGAUUAGAUACCCGAGUAGUC